GCUCAUCACAUCCUGGGGCUGAAGUAGGUCCCAAGGGUAUGGCUGUUCGCCAUUUAAAGUGGUACGCGAGCUGGGUUUAGAACGUCGUGAGACAGUUCGGUCCCUAUCUGCCGUGGGCGCUGGAGAAUUGAGGGGGGCUGCUCCUAGUACGAGAGGACCGGAGUGGACGCAUCACUGGUGUUCGGGUUGUCAUGCCAAUGGCACUGCCCGGUAGCUAAAUGCGGAAGAGAUAAGUGCUGAAAGCAUCUAAGCACGAAACUUGCCCCGAGAUGAGUUCUCCCUGACUCCUUGAGAGUCCUGAAGGAACGUUGAAGACGACGACGUUGAUAGGCCGGGUGUGUAAGCGCAGCGAUGCGUUGAGCUAACCGGUACUAAUGAACCGUGAGGCUUAACCUU
rnacentral:rRNA from 1 species